rnacentral:tRNA from 1 species
CGAAGAGGCUAAACGCGGCGGACUGUAAAUCCGCUCCUUCGGGUUCGGGGGUUCGAAUCCCUCUCUUUCCA